rnacentral:rRNA from 1 species
UGCCUGCCCAGUGACAUGAAAGUUUAACGGCCGCGGUACCCUGACCGUGCAAAGGUAGCAUAAUCAUUUGCCCUAUAAUUGAGGGCUCGUAUGAAAGGCAAGACGAGGGCGCAGCUGUCUCUGAAGUGAAAAAGAAAUUGGGCUCCGGGUGAAGACACCCGGAUAAAAAUAAAAGACAAAAAGACCCUAUAGAGCUUCAUCAAAAAAGAGAACAAAGAUUAUAACUUAAACAACACCCUCUCUCUAUUGAUUUGGUUGGGGCGACCAAGGAACAUAGAGCUUCCUCUUCCCAUUAAAGCCCACAGGCUAAGCAUUGACCCAAGAAAUUGACCAGCGGACAAAGCUACCUUAGGGAUAACAGCGUAAUCUUCCCCGCGAGUUCUUAUCUACGGGAAGGGUUGCGACCUCGAUGUUGGACUAGGAUAUCCUAAAGGUGCAGCAGCUUU